rnacentral:rRNA from 1 species
AGUAGGAAUACACCUGUUCCCAUUCCGAACACAGAAGUUAAGCUCUUUAGCGCCGAUGGUACUUGGUGGGAAGCUGCCUGGGAGAAGUAGGACGUAGCC